rnacentral:rRNA from 1 species
UGCAAGUCGAGCGGACAGAUGGGAGCUUGCUCCCUGAUGUUAGCGGCGGACGGGUGAGUAACACGUGGGUAACCUGCCUGUAAGACUGGGAUAACUCCGGGAAACCGGGGCUAAUACCGGAUGGUUGUUUGAACCGCAUGGUUCAAACAUAAAAGGUGGCUUCGGCUACCACUUACAGAUGGACCCGCGGCGCAUUAGCUAGUUGGUGAGGUAACGGCUCACCAAGGCAACGAUGCGUAGCCGACCUGAGAGGGUGAUCGGCCACACUGGGACUGAGACACGGCCCAGACUCCUACGGGAGGCAGCAGUAGGGAAUCUUCCGCAAUGGACGAAAGUCUGACGGAGCAACGCCGCGUGAGUGAUGAAGGUUUUCGGAUCGUAAAGCUCUGUUGUUAGGGAAGAACAAGUACCGUUCGAAUAGGGCGGUACCUUGACGGUACCUAACCAGAAAGCCACGGCUAACUACGUGCCAGCAGCCGCGGUAAUACGUAGGUGGCAAGCGUUGUCCGGAAUUAUUGGGCGUAAAGGGCUCGCAGGCGGUUUCUUAAGUCUGAUGUGAAAGCCCCCGGCUCAACCGGGGAGGGUCAUUGGAAACUGGGGAACUUGAGUGCAGAAGAGGAGAGUGGAAUUCCACGUGUAGCGGUGAAAUGCGUAGAGAUGUGGAGGAACACCAGUGGCGAAGGCGACUCUCUGGUCUGUAACUGACGCUGAGGAGCGAAAGCGUGGGGAGCGAACAGGAUUAGAUACCCUGGUAGUCCACGCCGUAGACGAUGAGUGCUAA